rnacentral:rRNA from 1 species
AUUGAACGCUGGCGGCAGGCCUAACACAUGCAAGUCGAGCGGAUGAAGGGAGCUUGCUCCUGGAUUCAGCGGCGGACGGGUGAGUAAUGCCUAGGAAUCUGCCUGGUAGUGGGGGAUAACGUCCGGAAACGGGCGCUAAUACCGCAUACGUCCUGAGGGUGAAAGUGGGGGAUCUUCGGACCUCACGCUAUCAGAUGAGCCUAGGUCGGAUUAGCUAGUUGGUGGGGUAAAGGCCUACCAAGGCGACGAUCCGUAACUGGUCUGAGAGGAUGAUCAGUCACACUGGAACUGAGACACGGUCCAGACUCCUACGGGAGGCAGCAGUGGGGAAUAUUGGGCAAUGGGCGAAAGCCUGAUCCAGCCAUGCCGCGUGUGUGAAGAAGGUCUUCGGAUUGUAAAGCACUUUAAGUUGGGAGGAAGAGCAGUAAGUUAAUACCUUGCUGUUUUGACGUUACCAACAGAAUAAGCACCGGCUAACUUCGUG